UACGGAGGAUCCAAGCGUUAUCCGGAAUUACUGGGCGUAAAGAGUUGCGUAGGUGGCAAAGUAAGUUGGUAGUGAAAUCGUGUGGCUCAACCAUGCUCACAUUACCAAAACUGCUUAGCUAGAGGAUGAGAGAGGUCGUUGGAAUUCCCUGUGUAGGAGUGAAAUCCGUAGAUAUAGGGAGGAACACCGAUGGCGUAGGCAGACGACUGGCUCAUUCCUGACACUAAGGCACGAAAGCGUGGGUAGCAAACGGGAUUAGAUACCGUGUAGUCC
rnacentral:rRNA from 1 species